GAUGAACGCUAGCUACAGGCUUAACACAUGCAAGUCGAGGGGAAACGACAUCGAAAGCUUGCUUUUGAUGGGCGUCGACCGGCGCACGGGUGAGUAACGCGUAUCCAACCUGCCCAUCACUUGGGGAUAACCUUGCGAAAGUAAGACUAAUACCCAAUGAUAUCUCUAGAAGACAUCUGAAAGAGAUUAAAGAUUUAUCGGUGAUGGAUGGGGAUGCGUCUGAUUAGCUUGUUGGCGGGGUAACGGCCCACCAAGGCAACGAUCAGUAGGGGUUCUGAGAGGAAGGUCCCCCACAUUGGAACUGAGACACGGUCCAAACUCCUACGGGAGGCAGCAGUGAGGAAUAGUGGUCAAUGGGCGAGAGCCUGAACCAGCCAAGUAGCGUGCAGGAAGACGGCCCUAUGGGUUGUAAACUGCUUUUAUAAGGGAAUAAAGUGAGAGUCGUGACUCUUUUUGUAUGUACCUUAUGAAUAAGGACCGGCUAAUUCCGUG
rnacentral:rRNA from 1 species